GAUGAACGCUGGCGGCGCGCCUAACACAUGCAAGUCGAACGAUUAAAGCACCUUCGGGUGUGUAUAAAGUGGCGAACGGCUAAGUAACACCUGGGCAACCUGCCCCUUUCAUUGGGAUAGCCACGGGAAACCGUGGAUAAUACCGAAUACUUCGAGACUUCCGCAUGGAAAACUCGAGAAAUCUCCGGCGGAGAGGGAUGGGGCCGCGGCCUGUUAGCUUGUUGGUGGGGUAACGGCCUGCCAAGGCAAUGAUGGGUAGCUGGGUUGAGAGACCGACCAGCCAGAUCGGGACUGAGAAAAGGCCCAGACUACUACGGGAGGCAGCAGUGGGGAAUCUUGCACAAUGGGCGGAAGCCUGAUGCAGCGACGCCGCGUGCGGGAUGAAGGCCUUCGGGUUGUAAACCGCUUUCAGCAGGGACGAGGCGAAAGUGACGGUACCUGCAGAAGAAGCACCGGCUAACUCCGUG
rnacentral:rRNA from 1 species